rnacentral:rRNA from 1 species
UACGUAGGGGGCAAGCGUUGUCCGGAUUUAUUGGGCGUAAAGAGCGUGUAGGCGGCCAUGUAGGUCCGUUGUGAAAACUCGAGGCUCAACCUCGAGACGCCGAUGGAAACCAUGUGGCUAGAGUCCGGAAGAGGAGAGUGGAAUUCCUGGUGUAGCGGUGAAAUGCGCAGAUAUCAGGAAGAACACCCGUGGCUAAGGCGGCUCUCUAGAACGGUACUGACGCUGAGACGCGAAAGCGUGGGGAGCGAACAGG